rnacentral:tRNA from 1 species
GUUCCUAUGGUCUAGUGGUUAUGACGCUUCGUUGUGGUUUAUAUCACAUGAUUACGUAGCAAUUACGUCAGCGCCGAAGCAGCCCGUGUUCGAUUCACGGUGGGGACA